rnacentral:rRNA from 1 species
CCCGUCACGCCAUGGGAGUUGAUGUUGCCUGAAGCAAGUGGGCUAACCGCAAGGAAGCAGCUUUCUACGGUGAUAUCGAUGACUGGGGUG